rnacentral:rRNA from 1 species
CUGCAGCUCGAGCGGUGAUCAUUAUUAUUGGGCCUAAAACGUCCGUAGCCGGUUUAGUAAAUGCCUGGGUAAAUCGUGUAGCUUAACUAUACGACUUCCGGGUAGACUGCUAAACUUGAGACCGGGAGAGGCUAGAGGUACUCCUGGGGUAGAGGUGAAAUUCUGUAAUCCUAGGGGGACCACCAGUGGCGAAGGCGUCUAGCUAGAACGGGUCUGACGGUGAGGGACGAAGCCCUGGGGCACAAACCGGAUUAGAUACCCGAGUAGUCC